UACAGAGGUCUCAAGCGUUGUUCGGAUUCAUUGGGCGUAAAGGGUGCGUAGGUGGCAUGGUAAGUCGGAUGUGAAAUCCCGGGGCUUAACUCCGAAACUGCAUUCGAUACUGCCGUGCUUGAGGACUGGAGAGGAGACUGGAAUUUACGGUGUAGCGGUGAAAUGCGUAGAUAUCGUAAGGAAGACCAGUGGCGAAGGCGGGUCUCUGGACAGUUCCUGACGCUGAGGCACGAAGGUCAGGGGAGCAAACGGG
rnacentral:rRNA from 1 species